rnacentral:rRNA from 1 species
CAGUAGCCGCGGUAACACAGAGGGUGCGAGCGUUAAUCGGAUUUACUGGGCGUAAAGCGUGCGUAGGCGGCUUUUUAAGUCGGAUGUGAAAUCCCUGAGCUUAACUUAGGAAUUGCAUUCGAUACUGGGAAGCUAGAGUAUGGGAGAGGAUGGUAGAAUUCCAGGUGUAGCGGUGAAAUGCGUAGAGAUCUGGAGGAAUACCGAUGGCGAAGGCAGCCAUCUGGCCUAAUACUGACGCUGAGGUACGAAAGCAUGGGGAGCAAACAGGAUUAGAUACCCCCGUAGUCCUUGUCUCUUAUAC